rnacentral:lncRNA from 1 species
UGCACGCAGGCUUUCAUUUGCUUCUUGUAAGUAUCCAGGUCCCAUGACAACGUUAGUGACUUAAGACCAUCCUUUUCUAUUAAGUUAGCCUCCCUAGCCUGUUGGAAACGCUUCACAUUUUCCAGCUUACUAAUACGCAGUUCCCCUUCAAGAUUAAGCCCGUUGAGCUCCCUGAGGCCACACUCGCUCUUUUCACUAAGCACAAAGAGCGGUAGUUCUCGAAGGCGGCUUAGCCGUCCUAUUCCAGAUGGCAUGCCUGUUAAUUUAUAACAAUUACCUGUGUGAAGAUUUGUGAGGCUUGUCAUGUCUUUCGUGUUCUCCGGGAGCUCGAGUAGAGAGCUACAGCCUUGUAGAUUAAUUGAUCGAAGACCUGAGAGGCAGCAUAAGCUUUCAGGCAACUUCUCUAUUUCGGUAUAUCCGAGGUUUAAGGUCUGCAAACUCUUUAAAUGACCAAUGGAAGUUGGUAGGGAAACAAAUCUCACACAACUCUCGAGGUUCAAUGUUAACAGGUCGGAGAGGUUACCAACGGAGUGUGGCAAUUCUUUUAAAAAUCGACAUCCUUGCAGGUUCAAAAAAUGUAGAUUCUGCAAGAAACCAAUAGAUUGUGGCAGUGUUUCAAGGUCUGUGUAUGACAAAUUGAGAUACCUUAGGUGUCUAAGAUUACUAAUUGAAAUUGGUAAUACUUUGAUCGGGUAGCGGCUGAGAUGAAGUGCUCUUAGAAGCUUCAUACUAGAGAAAACAAUUUGAAGAAUCUUCAGCAUCAUAUCUUCCUCUUCUAUCUGCACAUCAGGAUGUGACCUAAGGAAGUAAAAGGUUCUCAACUUUUUAGCUUUAUUGAGGAUCUCCAAAGUCGAUGGUGUUGCCUCUUUUGUGUAGAUAAAUGAUGAAUAACGUGUCAUAGGAUGAAUGUCUCUUCUAUUACCAGUUAUGUCGAUGCUUGAACAUUCUUCACCUGAAGUAGAUUGGGCGAGAUCAUGAACUAGGUCAUGAAUUUUGAUAUUGUUUGACCAUAUGGUACUUCUCUCGGAAAGUGAUCUUGCUAAUAGCUCUCGCAAAUACUGGAAACCCACCUCUUCCAAUUUCACGCUCUUAUUAGAUGACUGAAUGAAACCUUCAGCAAUCCAAAGUUCUACCAGAGUCGCAUCUUCUACAAUAGUAUCCUUUGGAAAAAUGGAGCAAUACGCAAAGCAUCGCUUCAAGUGUGAGGGCAAAUGCUUGUAACUCAACCUUAGGGCUGGUAAAAUAUCAUUCUCUUCUGACUUCCAACUAUCAUUGUCUCGGACAGCCAGCCAUUCACUUUCCGUUCUCUUAGAACGCAUCAAGCUACCCAAAACCUUUGCUGCCAGCGGGACACCGCCACAUUUUCUCACAACUUCCUUUCCAAUGGUAACCAAGUUUGGCGUCUUCUCGCAAGCACCUAUCCCAAAUGCUCUUCUCUCAAACAACAACCAACAAUCAUCAUCGGAUAAAGUCUUCAAAAAGUGUGGCUCCACCGUGGUUAGUAUUGAGGCAACUCCACUACUACGGGUGGUCACUAUAAUUUUACUUCCCGUGGCACCAAUAGUUAGCAAAGUCCUAAAUUUGUCCCAUUUCUCAUAACUUUCACUCCAUACAUCAUCCAGCACGAGCAAAAAUCUCUUUUUCUCAAGCUCUUGUCUUAGUUUAGACCCCAUCGACGCCAUGCUUGUGAGAUCGCAAGCAUUUCCCGUUAUAUGCUCUAUUAUUGAUCUGACAAGUCUUUUAGGAUCAAAAUCAUUAGAAACACAUACCCAUAUUUUCUUCUCAAAGUGGUUGCUUAUUUGUUGAUCAUUAUAGACUAAUUGCGCGAGCGUCGUCUUACCGACCCCUCCCAUCCCAACAAUUGCUAUAACCCCGAGAUCACCUCCAGACGUGUCCACAAGAUAUUCAAUGAUCUCUUUCUUAUCUUCUUCCCUACCAAAAACUUCCGAUUCAAGUACGAAAGAGCUAGUUUCUUCUCUCACCCCGUACUCUUGCCUACAGCACGUUAAUACAAAUCUCUCUCGCAAAUGAAACUUAGAUCUCUCCUCCGCAAGCUCAUCUAGUCUCUCCCUAAUCUCUCUAAUCUCCCUAGCUAUCUUUAACUGAGUAAUAAUUGAGCUAGGCAAUGAUAGCACUUUACUUACCGUUCGGUUCAUCCAGCUACUAGUACCGCUUUCCGGAUCAGUUAAACUCCUCUUCCGGUUCUUGGCCAAGUCCUCGUCCAGCAGAUCGUCGAUAUCGUAGGCCACAUCUUUGAGGCGUCGCAGCCACCCUCUGAGAGCUCUCUCCUGCACUUGCCUCCCCUCCGCAUCCUCGAGCACGUCGCGGAUGACGGAGAGGGUGCCCGCCAGCUUCUUCAGCUCGGCGCCGACGUCCAUCAGCUGACCAAACUCGUUUGUGAUUCGGUCCCUCAGUCUGUCCAGCAGCGAGUUCAGGACGUCCGAAGCCACUACGUCUGCCAUUUUCUCUUUGAUGAUUCUAUUCUUUUCGUAUCAAUCAAUCAAUUAAAAAUUAUCUGUUUCAAUGUAAUAUAUAAAACUGCAAUAGUCAAAUCGAAUGAAAUUAAAGACGAUUAAAUAUCUGACGAAUGAAGGAACGUCCGCGGUAGAAGAACAGGACUAAACGAAAGGAGCAGAGGAGACCAAUUUUUUGCAGUGAAAAUGACUUUGACUUGAGGAUCCUUGCAUGUUGGUGGGUGAUUGGCCUGAGAAUAUAAAAAGUCGGAAAUGGAAGGCGAAACAUCAUCACUCUCACAAGAAAAAUAAAAGGGAAGCCAAAGGUCAUUCUGAGGUUGACCUGAUCUGCCUGCGUACUCUUUCUGCAAUGUUUUGAUUAGGACUUUCUCUAAGACGUGUGGUUCCAAAAAAAAAAGUUUAGAAAAUAACUCUUGUCAUUUCAAAAAUAACAGAUAUUCAGUUAGGACAACAAUAAAAUUGUAUUUGUAUGCACUCCGAUGAGGGUAAAAAUGCCCCACCUCAACUAAGGAACAUUUCAGCAUUGACCUCUUGACUCCAAACUUUUUUUUUUGUUUGACACACUCUUUUGACUUCUAAUAUUUUUUUAAAAAACUUUGUAGUUCGUUAAAUUUAAAAUCUUCAUUAAAUAGUUCAAUUAACUAUGGCGAUUAAUUAAUUUAAUUUUACUUGCUAUUAGAUGAUCAAACUUAUUAAAUUUAAUAAACUAUUAGUAAAGUUAUUAAACUUUCUAAUUUGUUUGAUUAAAAUGAGCAAUACUUUAAUACUCCGUUUUAACGUUAGUUGCUUAUUUAGGGCUAAAAUUUAUGUGUCAAAAAAGAUGACUUGCUAUUCCACAACCAGUACUGUUCACCAAGUAUGUGAAACUAGAGGGUUUUAGAAAAAAAAAAGAGCCAAUAUUGAAAAGUUUUGCAUACUAUAGCUUUGAAUUGUGGAGAGAAUAAAUUUUUUAUUGAAUUAUCGAUUUUGAAAGUCGAUUUUAAUAACAAUUUGUGAUGACGUUGGGUCAUAAGUUUUAGUGAUUUAUAAUUUAAAGUUAAUUUUCAAACACAAAAACUUUAUGUUUAAAUAGUUAAUAAAAUUUAUUUUUUUAACUAUAAUAUAAAUUAAAUCUAAAUUUAAAAUUUAAAUUUGAUUAAUAUUUUUGAACUUUAAUGCCGUUUUUCAAUAUUGAAUUAACAAUUUGAAUUUACUUUAAAACAUAGAAACCUUUUAUUUAAAUAAAUAAUAAAAGUUGGGUUUGUAGGUAUAAUAUAACUUAAAUUACAAUUUAAAAUAAAUUAAUAUUGUUGAACUUUGAUGUUAUUUUAAUAUUGAAUUGACAAUUUAUAUUGAAAUGUAUUACUCAUUUAAACAUAAUUUUUGGCUUUUUCAAAUUUUAUUUAAAUUUAAAUUUUAUUUUGAUUUUAAUCUACACAAUUAUAAAUAUAAAGUUUAAAUCAAGUUAAAUUUUAAAUUUGAAUUUAUAAAGAUUUCUCACUUAUCAAAUUAGCCAUAACUAAUUUGGUAAAUAACAAAAUUAAAUUAGGAAACGAAAAUUUGGUGGAUAUUAUCAAAUUUGGUUAUUGGCUAGUGUAUAUUUUUCAAUAUUGCUUUUUACGAUUGAUUUUGAUUGGUAACUAGCUUGUUGAGUAGGUUACUGUUAUAUAAAAGUCAAUCUUAACCUUAAAAGACAAACAGCAGAUUUAAUUUGACCAGUGUAUUAAAGCAUUUUUUUUAUUAAAUUACUUGAUUUGAAAAAAAAAAAAAAAUUUAAAGGGUUAUUAAUUUUUUAAAAAAAAUGAAGGGCAAUUCCACAAUGGCCUAUAGUAGAGUGCAAAGGGUCUCCAAACAUUCUAUUGGAUUUUUAGAAUUAGUUUUUUUUUUUUUUUUAAGAAGACAACAGAGAUAAGGUAUUAACUAUUUAUGAAGUUGAAUUUGAUGGCUUUCCUUGCGCAAGAAGAAAAUUGAGAUACGAGCCAAACUGCAAGAGAGUUUUUCUUAAUUGCGCAUAAUUAAGAGACCACAAUUCAUGUAAUUAAUUGUAUACAAUAUUUAACAUCGAAGAUAACAAGCAAUAGUUGUAUUGGUAAUUCAAAAGCACUAUAAUGAAUUUACUAAAUAUGGAAGUCGUUACAAACAAACUUGCAAAGAACAGACGUAAGAAUAGACAUUAAAACCUGCAAACAUCAACACAUUUCCUUAUUUUUUAUGGCUAGUAUAUUGAUUGCAAUACCCUUCUUUUUUUUUUUUUGGGUUGUUGAGACGAAGAAUAAUAGUGCAAUAUUCUCAAAACAAAGUGCUACGGGAGUUCCGCAGCACUUCUGAUGAAGUCUAAAUCAGCAUCGUCUGCGGGAUUUGUCCGGACAAAGCCCCGACAUUCUUGGAAUGUUAAGCGCUCAGCAAGAACUUGCGGAACAGGUGGUUGAGUCUCGUCGAAUUUUUUUUUUUGAUUAAACAGGGGUAUACCCUAUUUGAGAAGAAGAGGUACAGAGUCGAGAAAGGCAAAAGAGGAAGAACCCAAAACUGGAUAAAGAGGGACCAGAAAAGCUAAAUAAGACCAAGCAAAUCUCUACAGAGCUAGAAAAGCUAAAUAAGACCAAGCAAAUCUCUACAGAGCUAGAAGUCCGCACCCCGGUUUGCAGCGAGUGAUCCGCAGCAACACAGUUACCAGAGCAGCCGCGGUAGUAGGAAGGAUCUACGUCCCUAGCGCCUUUUGUCGCGGUAGACACGGCAGUAGUAGUAUCUACGUCCCCAGCUUCCCUGAAGCCUCGUUCCACAGCCGCACUGUUGCGAUAAUGUUCCGGCCCAAGGCUCUAUGAUGGCAGAGGAGAUUAUCAAACAGUCAGUCGCCUAUUCCGCUCGUUCCAAAGUUCCCAGCAGCAUGCAGAGAAGACCACAUCGAAAAGUGCCCGUUGCGGACUUGAUAGAGAAAUGCUAAUUCGGCUCCAACGAUCCCCCAGCUUCCCAGUUGAACUGGCCAAUAACUGUUGAGUCCAAGUGCCGGGUCCGAGCAGGAACAUCCAAAGAUCUCUAGCAUAGGGACAGAGGAAGAGUAGAUGUUCUAGCGUUUCAGCCUCGGAAAAACAAAGGACGCAGAUGGAGGGCCCAUGCCAACCUCGCUUGGUGAGGAAAGAAGCAGUGAGGAUUCUAUUCCUUGCCGCAAGCCACAGGAAAAGCUUGACUCUGAGAGGGAUCUUAAGCUUCCAGAGGAAAGCUAUUGUGGAGUUGUUAACGCCGUCGUAAGUCAAGAAGGCAUAAGCGCUUCGGACCGAGAACUUACCGGAUUGGGUCCAGCGCCAAGAAGGAGAGUCGUCGAUGUUGUCCGAGAGCAAGAACGAGCUGGUCAAAGUGGCGAGGUGUUGGAGCUCGAUAUGCUCUAAGAGGCCGAGGGGGGCAGGAAAUCCCGUGUUUACACAACCGGCGAAGCGACUGUACCAAACUGCGAUCGAGAGGUGCCUGUGCUUAGCCGCAGCAAAGAGAUUAGGGAAACGAUCUCUAGGGGCUAGGCCUCCACACCAGCGCGCAUUCCAGAACGACGUUGCAAUUCCAUCACCGAGUUGGAAGUCAACGGAGGUGAGAAAUGGCGCUGCAAUGGAGAGAAUAUCGCGCCAGAUGGGGCAGCAAUCUGCAAGCUUGGGCGCACCCAGGGAAGGAGCCAUGCGCUUGUAGUGUUUCUGCAAAAGAAGACGAACCCAGGGUAGACAGCGUGAGUUGUAGAAAUUCCAUAGCGUCUUCAUCAAUAAGGCGACAUUCAUGGAAUGGAGAUUAUGAAUGCCGACACCGCCAUAUCGCUUGGGGCGACACACUUCGUCCCAUUUAACAAGGCAAUGGAAGCCAUUCUGGAGUAUUUUCCCCCUCCAAAAAAAUCCCCGGCGAAUUUUAUCAAUGGCUUUAAUAACCCAAGAAGGCAAAGCAAAGGCGGAGCAGAAGAAUGUUGGAAUGCUAGUGAGCGUCAAAUUAAGCAGAACAUGACGUCCACCUCUCGAUAGCAUGGCACCCUUCCAGCCGGCAAGGCGGUUGUCCACUUUUUCAAUCAAGGGGAGGUAGUCAGCCUUACGAAGUUUCUUCGGGGAAAGCGGCAGGCCCAAGUAGGUAAAAGGGAAGCCAUGCGUGGAACACCCAAAGAUAUCUGUCAGGGCUGAGGUUUGAGCAUCAGAUAGAUUGAUAGGGAUGAUGGCGCUUUUCUGAUAGUUAAUCUUCAGGCCAGAGUAUUCGGAGAAGGCGUCGAGAAUAAGUUUAAUAGCCGCAGCGGACCUACAGGACCCGUCAAAGAACAGUAGUAGAUCAUCAGCAAAUUGUAGGGUGUGAAGCUUGGCGUCACCAAUUCCCAAGGCCGUUAGGGAAUUCGAGGUAAAGGCUAAUUGCAGCAUUACCUUGAGAUUUGGAAAUGCACCACUUUGGAUCGAAGAUAGCAGCAGCUCAUCGUCGGCACACAAAUGCAGCCGUUCGACAGAUGGAAAAGAUGAUGGCAGUACUGUCAGUUUUGGGCAAUCCAGCAGCCUCAACCUGAGCAGACGAGGAAAAGAUUGUCGCCCAGCUGGCGCGUCAUGCCACUCCUCCAACUGGGGCAUGUAAUUUAGUUCCAAGCUCUCCAAUUUUAGGAAUGCACCAUCACUUGCAGCAUAGAAUUCUGAGCCCAAACUCUUGACUGCUAGGAGAGAUUCGAGAUGCAGGAAUAUAAGAGAAGGCAGUUGUCCGAGCGGCGGAAGAGACUCGACGGCAGGAAGCUUCCUGAGAUAAAGGCACAUGAGGUUACGCAAUUGACUAAUUUUUGGGAGGGUCUUGCAUCUGAAACAAGAAUAUAACUGAAGCUGAGCAAGAUUCGGAAGACUCUGCUCCAACCAUUGCGGAAAUGUUUUGCCCCAGUAGCCCUGUAUACGCAAUUCCGUCAAAUUUUCGUGUGGUUGGAGGCCCUCGAGGACAUUCUCGGCUAGCGCAAGUGCUCUGAAUAGAUCUUGCCCGCUUCGUCCUGCAGGCUUCCAUUUCCUUUUUGUAAGUAUCCAGGGACCAUGAUAACUCUAGUGACUCAAGACCAUGCUUUUCUUUUAAGUGAGCGUUCCUUGCCUGAUGGAAAUCCUUCACAUUUUCCAACUUAUUAAUACAUAGCUCCCCUUCAAGAUUAAGUCUACUGAGCUCCGUGAGGCCACAAUCACUCUUUUCGGUAAGCACAAGGAGCGGUAGUUCUCGAAGGCGGCUUAGCCGUCCUAUUCCAGAUGGCAUGCCUGUUAAUUUAUAGCAAUUACCGGUGUGAAGAUUUGUGAGGCUUGUCAUGUCUUUCAUGUUCUCCGGGAGCUCGAGUAGAGAGCUACAGCCUUGUAGAUUAAUUGAUCGAAGAUCUGAGAGGCAGCAUAAGCUUUCGGGCAACUUCUCUAUUUCGGUAUAUCCGAGGUUUAAGGUCUGCAAACUCUUUAAAUGACCAAUGGAAGUUGGUAGGGAAACAAAUCUCACGCAACUCCCGAGGUUCAAUGUUAACAGGUCGGAGAGGUUACAAACGGAGUCUGGCAAUUCUUUUAAAAAUCGACAUCCUUGCAGGUUCAAAAAAUGUAGAUUCUGCAAGAAACCAAGAGAUUGUGGCAGUGUUUCAAGGUCUGUGUAUGACAAAUUGAGAUACCUUAGGUGUCUAAGAUUACUAACUGAAAUUGGUAAUACUUUGAUCGGGUAGCGGCUGAGAUGAAGUGCUCUUAGAAGCUUCAUACUAGAGAAAACAAUUUGAAGAAUCUUCAGCAUCAUAUCUUCCUCUUCUAUCGGCACACCAUUGCAUGAUUUAACAAAGUAAAAGGUUCUCAACAUUUUAGCUUUAUUGAGGAUUUCUAAAAUCAAUGGUAUUGCCUCUUUUUUGUCGACAAAAGAUGAAUAACGUGUCCUAGGAUAAAUGUCUCUUCUAUUAUUAGCUAUGUCGAUGCUUGAACAAUCUUCACCUGAAGUAGAUUGGGCGAGAUCGUGAACUAGGUCAUGGAUCUUGAUAUAACUUGACCCUGUGUAAUUUUUCUCAAAAAGUGAUUUUGAUAAUAGGUCUCGCAAAUAUUGGUAACCCACGUCUUCCAAUUUCACACUCUUAUCAGGUGACAGAACGAAACCUUCAGCAAUCCAAAGUUCGACCAAAGUCGCAUCGUCUAUAAUACUACCCUUCGGAAAUAUGGAGCAGUACGCAAAGCAUUGCUUCAAGUGUGAUGGCAAAUGGUUGUAACUCAACCUUAGGGCUGGAAAAAUAUCCUUCUCUUCUGACUUCCAACUACCAUUGUCUAGGACAUCCAACCACUCACUUUCUCUUCUCUUAGAACGCAUCAAGCUACCUUAAACCUUUGCUGCCAGCGGGACACCGCCACAUUUUCUCACAAUCUCCUUUCCAGUGGUAACCAAGUUUGCCGUCCUCUCACAAGCACCAUUCCCGAGUGCUAUUCUUCCAAACAACUCCCAACAAUGAUCUUCCGAUAAAGCCUUCAACAAGUGUGGCUCCACCAUGGUCAUCAAUAAGGCAAUUCUUCUAUUGCGGGUGGUCACAAUAACUUUACUUCUCGUAGCACCAAUAGUUAGCAAAGUCCUAAAUUUGUCCCAAUUCUCAUAAUUUUCAUUCCAUACGUCAUCCAGCACAAGCAAAAAUUUCUUAUUUUCAAGCUCCUGUCUUAGCUUAGACCCCAUCGACGCCAUGCUCGUGAGAUCGCAAUCAUUUCCCGUUGUGUGCUCGAUUAUUGAUCUGACAAGUCUUUUGAGGUCAAAAUCAUUGGAAACACACAGCCAUAUUUUCUUCUCAAAGUGAUCGGUUAUACGUUGAUCAUUAUAGACUAAUUGCGCGAGCGUCGUCUUACCGACCCCUCCCAUCCCAACUAUUGCUAUAACCCCGAGAUCACCUCCAGAUGUGCCCACAAGAAAUUCGAUGAUCUUUUGCGUAUCUUCCUCCCUACCGUAAACUUCCGAUUCAAUUACAAAGGGGCUACUCUCUUCUCUCACCACAUUCUGUUGCCUGUAAAAUGUUACUGCAGAUCUCUCUCGCAAAUGAAGCUUAGAUCUCUCCUCUGCAAGCUCAUCUAGUCUCUCCCCAAUCUCUCUAAUCUCCCUACCGAUAUUUUUUUAUUUUAUUUUUUUUUUUUGAGAAAUAGGUAGCUUGCUACCUGCUUCAUUCAUUAAG